rnacentral:rRNA from 1 species
GACAGAGGUGCCAAGCGUUAGGCGGAAUCACUGGGCUUAAAGCGUGUGUAGGCGGACUGGUAAGUACCUUGUGAAAUCCCACGGCUCAACCGUGGAACUGCUUGGUAUACUGCUUUUCUUGAGCCACUUAGGGGCUGUCGGAACAAACGGUGGAGCGGUGAAAUGCAUUGAGAUCGGAAAGAACACCAACGGCGAAAGCACUCUGCUGGGCCGACACUGACACUGAGAGACGAAAGCUAGGGGAGCAAAUGGG